UACCAGCACCCCGAGUGGUCGGGACGAUUAUUGGGCCUAAAGCAUCCGUAGCCGGUUCUACAAGUCUUCCGUUAAAUCCAACUGCUUAACAGGUGGGCUGCGGAAGAUACUAUAGAGCUAGGAGGCGGGAGAGGCAAGCGGUACUCGAUGGGUAGGGGUAAAAUCCGUUGAUCCAUUGAAGACCACCAGUGGCGAAGGCGGCUUGCCAGAACGCGCUCGACGGUGAGGGAUGAAAGCUGGGGAGCAAACAGG
rnacentral:rRNA from 1 species